CGCACUUUUCGAGCGCAAAAAGAGUGACAAAUAGUUCACGUGAGAGCGUGAGAGGGCCACGUGCUUUGGAGCGGUGGAGCCGAUUGGUGUAGGGGCUAAUUUGUUAGCCAGAUAGACCGCGCUCCGACGCAGAUGAGGUCAUUUCUGCGCUCGAAAAGUGCGUAGUUCUUGCUUUGGCUCAUUUGCAUAGCGAAAUUCAGCGAUGCAUAUUUCAACACACGCACGCGCUUAAGGUUUUUUAAAAAGUGUAGUGUCUUUCCAAGAGGAAUAUCUCCCGUUCUGGUAUCCCGCUUUUGCGCGAAAUCUCCGAAUUAGUAUAGUUACAUACUUUCUUCGAUAGAAUGUUCACCUGGCCAUAUAACUAUAUAUAUAUACCGAUGGUGGGUGCAGAUAAAGUAGCCCAUAUUCAUGCACAUAUGGCGUUGUUGGGCUACUUUAUCUGUACCCACCCCUUUUACUAAACAUUGUGUAAUGGAUAAAAAACACCUUGUAUAUCGCUGAUGCCCGGUUAGAGCUUCGAAGUACACCAAUAAUGCAAAAGGUCACUACCACAAAUUGAAACUGAAAAAAAAAAAAAGGGUCUGCGUUCGAAACGCAGGUUUUGGCUGCGCACGCCGUGGCAUGGUGAACAGCGGUGUCGAGCAGAUGGUUCAGCUAAACACCAACAAGACUUUGAUAUUUAACCAGAAUUUAACCGAACUGUACCUCACUACGAAUGUUCAGGGUUCGUUGGCAAUCCACUAAAGCCGCGACUGUGCUGACGAUGGAUGAAGCGCACAGCGGUUUUCGCGUUUUAAACUAGUUUCGGUUAUCGAACGUGUACGGACGCAUUUAAGAACACGACAACCUCGAAAGCUCCGCGCGUCGCAAAUUGUACACAAAGUGCGUAGCAACUUCGUAGUAAUAAGCUCCUAUGAUAUUCGAAAACAAUUCAUAACGGUAAACAUAUUUUUAUUCGCGAUGCAUUCUUUUCGCGAAUAUCGCGACCGCUAAAAGAAAUCGCGAAAAAGAGACCUCUCCCUGUUUAUAAACAAAUGACGUCAUUGCGUUCGACAGCGCCACCAAUUUGGUAGACUUGAACUACGCCCGAAGCUAGGGGCGAACAAGUCGCGCCCGAAAGCCACGGUCUUGAGGGGAUAACGAUGGUUCCUGAAAGGAAUGUGACUUUCGGCCCUACUUUUCUUUUCGUGGUGAUGAAGGAAGACGAGGAUUUGCAAACAAAAUGUAAUAAAGCAAAUAAAAGAAGCUUGCGAUAACACGCACGCGGAAUGCUAUCACGCGCCUGCGAUCGCGAGGCGAGGCUGGGACAGCGAGCUUGCUGAAGGCCGGCAAUGGCGGAAAGUCAUGUGACCUCAAUAUGGAGAAAACGGUCUGUGCCCAUUCGUGUAAACCAGCCCUCCUCUUCCAAUUUGUAAGGGCAAUGAAACAAUGCAUGAGUGGGUAUACAGCUUUUAUUGCCCAUAAACAUCGACACGGAAAGGAGGCAGAGGAUAACUGUAAUCAGGUGUAUGACCAACAGUAGAAAAAAUUCUGACAUCCAUCGAACGAUAUCGCUAGCGAACCAGUGCAGGAAAUGAUGUUGCUUUUAUGUUACUCAUUGAAUGAUGUGUAGAUUUCAUUCUCGAUUAACAUAUGAAAAAGAAAAGACUAUGUCUUCCAAUUUCAAAAUAUCGGGAGAGCGAAUGAUAAAACUCGAUCGGCUGUGAUACCCCAUCAGUUAUCCGCAACCGCAACAACGCCCCCGUAUUUUUGGCUGCGCAGACGGCUGGCACAGGGUUGAGGCAAUGACCGGGGAACCCAUGGUAGACGGAGGCAUGUUGGCAUGUGCCAGUAGAGGGUGAGGAAUUGUGACUUCGCCCCUGUUUUUCUGAAUCAGGCAUGUUGCACGACGUUUGGGAGUGCUCAGACAUGGAAUGGAUUUUCGACUCAGUCCACAGCAUGGGCAUUCGAAGGAUUUUUUCCAGGGCAGGGCAAAGUGUGCGCCCCCUUUUUACUGGAAAUGAGCGCUGCGGACAGUUCGAGUGUUCAGAGGCUCAUAUUAUGACAUCAGACAGAGAAUGAUCAUGGCGACGUACGUCUAAAGACAAGCAUUUGCAACAAGGAAUGCACCUCCUCCCGACUGCCCAAGCAGCACAAUGUACUGAAAGUCGAGUGCAAUAUGGGCGGACGGGUAGAUGGAAGGCCUUGAACAGACUCGUGAAACUGAAGAACACUGAUAAGACACAUGCCAUCCAGCUCUAUUGCACUCAACUUUCAGUACAUUGUGCUGUUUGGGUGGGUACGAUGCGUGACGUCAUGCUUCAACCCGGCCCAAUGCGCAAAUGUGGCAAACCGCGCACUGCCGCGACAAGAGUAGCCAGUCAGUGAAACCACGUGUGUUUCUGCGUGUCCAGACUACGUGCGUUUAUCUUUGUUUGUGAUUAGUGUUUCGGGCUUCGAUUACGGGUCUUUUUUUUGUGUGUGUGUGUGUGUGAAUAGCGUGUGUGCGUUUGAACCACGUCACGAAUGGGCGGUAAUACGAGUAUUAUGAUCCAAUCAUGAUCCAAUCAAGAAUUAUGAUCCAGUGACCAUGUCAAUAUUACUCUCCCCACCUAAAAAUUAACGAUACAUGAUGCUGUGACGUAUAUGUCACAGAAUCAUUUGUAAAUUAAAACAAGCAGAAAUAUUUGAUGCCAGUGGUCGAUAUACAACAGUAAACGGGAA